GAUGAACGCUGGCGGCGUGCCUAAUACAUGCAAGUCGAGCGAACAGACGAGGAGCUUGCUCCUCUGACGUUAGCGGCGGACGGGUGAGUAACACGUGGAUAACCUACCUAUAAGACUGGGAUAACCUCGGGAAACCGGAGCUAAUACCGGAUAAUAUAUUGAACCGCAUGGUUCAAUAGUGAAAGACGGUUUUGCUGUCACUUAUAGAUGGAUCCGCGCCGCAUUAGCUAGUUGGUAAGGUAACGGCUUACCAAGGCGACGAUGCGUAGCCGACCUGAGAGGGUGAUCGGCCACACUGGAACGGAGACACGGUCCAGACUCCUACGGGAGGCAGCAGUAGGGAAUCUUCCGCAAUGGGCGAAAGCCUGACGGAGCAACACCGCGUGAGUGAUGAAGGUCUUCGGAUCGUAAAACUCUGUUAUUAGGGAAGAACAAAUGUGUAAGUAACUAUGCACGUCUUGACGGUACCUAAUCAGAAAGCCACGGCUAACUACGUG
rnacentral:rRNA from 1 species